GUGGCUGCUUGCAGCCACUGGAGACUGGCGGACGGGUGAGUAACGCGUAGAUAACCUGCCUAUACCUGGGGGAUAACAUUUCGAAAGGGAUGCUAAUACCGCAUAAUGCAGCGGGGCCGCAUGGCCACAGUUGUUAAAGGCGCGAGCCGGGUAUAGAGGGGUCUGCGUACUAUUAGUUAGUUGGUGGGGUAACGGCCUACCAAGGCGAUGAUAGUUAGGGGGUCUGAGAGGAUGAUCCCCCACACUGGGACUGAGACACGGCCCAGACUCCUACGGGAGGCAGCAGUGAGGAAUCUUGCGCAAUGGAGGAAACUCUGACGCAGCCACGCCGCGUGCCGGAAGACGGCCCUAUGGGUUGUAAACGGCUUUUGGUCGGGAAGAACGCCCGGGGUUUGCCCUGGGGUGACGGUACCGAUUGAAUAAGCACCGGCUAACUCCGUGCCAGCAGCCGCGGUAAUACGGAGGGUGCAAGCGUUGUCCGGAAUCAUUGGGUGUAAAGGGUGCGUAGGUGGGAGCCUAAGUCUGUGGUGAAAUCUUGCCGCUUAACGGUAAAAUGGCCAUAGAUACUGGGUUUCUUGAGUACAGAAGAGGUCGGUGGAAUUCGUAGUGUAGCGGUGAAAUGCAUAGAUAUUACGAAGAACAUCAGUGGCGAAGGCGGCCGGCUGGACUGUAACUGACACUGAGGCACGAAAGCGUGGGGAGCGAACA
rnacentral:rRNA from 1 species